rnacentral:rRNA from 1 species
AUUGAACGCUGGCGGCAGGCCUAACACAUGCAAGUCGAGCGGAUGACGGGAGCUUGCUCCUUGAUUCAGCGGCGGACGGGUGAGUAAUGCCUAGGAAUCUGCCUGGUAGUGGGGGACAACGUUUCGAAAGGAACGCUAAUACCGCAUACGUCCUACGGGAGAAAGCAGGGGACCUUCGGGCCUUGCGCUAUCAGAUGAGCCUAGGUCGGAUUAGCUAGUAGGUGAGGUAAUGGCUCACCUAGGCGACGAUCCGUAACUGGUCUGAGAGGAUCAUCAGUCACACUGGAACUGAGACACGGUCCAGACUCCUGCGGGGGGCAGCAGGGGGGAAUAUUGGACGAUGGGCGAAAGCCUGGUCCAGCCAUGCCGCGUGUGUGAAGAAGGUCUUCGGAUUGUAAAGCACUUUAAGUUGGGAGGAAGGGUUGUACGUUAAUACCGUGCAAUUUUGACGUUACCGACAGAAUAAGCACCGGCUAACUCUGUGCCAGCCGCCGCGGUAACAC